rnacentral:tRNA from 1 species
GGGUCGUUAGCUCAGUCGGUAGAGCAGCGGACUUUUAAUCCGUUGGUCGUGGGUUCGAAUCCCGCACGACCCACCA